AGAGAGAGACAUGCGCGCAUAUCAAUAAGCGGAGGAAAAGAAACUAACAAGGAUUCCCUUAGUAACGGCGAGUGAAGCGGGAAGAGCUCAAAUUUGAAAUCUUCAAGGUUUUACCUUGACGAAUUGUAGUUUAAAGAAGUGUUUUCUGCUGAAGUUUUGGUAAAAGUUCUUUGGAAUAGGACAUCAUAGAGGGUGAGAAUCCCGUAUUUGACCAUUAUUUUCAGCUUUGUGAUACACUUUCAAAGAGUCGGAUUGUUUGGGAAUGCAGUCCAAAAUGGGUGGUAAAUUUCAUCUAGAGCUAAAUAUUGGCGAGAGACCGAUAGCGAACAAGUACCGUGAGGGAAAGAUGAAAAGAACUUUGAAAAGAGAGUUAAACAGUACGUGAAAUUGUCAAAAGGGAAGCGUUUGACACCAGUGUUGUUUUCUCGAAAAUCAAUUAAAAAUGGCUCGAUUUUGUAUUGCUGAGACCUUAAAAGCUCACUGUACAUUUUUCGUGUCUUUUUUAAUGCACUUUUCGUUUAGCAAGUCAACAUCAAUUUCUUUUGUUGUAAAAGGGUCAUUGGAAGGUGGCUUUCUUUUCGGAGAAAGUGUUUAUAGCCUUUGGCCUCUGCAAUCGGAAGAGGCUGAGGUCUGCAGCGUAGACUCUUCGGGGUUAGAUACAUUUGUGCUAAGUUAUAGCUUUUUAUAGACAACUUGUUGACUAUAAUUAGUCUUGUAGCUUACUCGCUUAUGCUAUUUUACCUACGCUUAGGAUGUUGAGUCGUAGAGCACGCAG
rnacentral:rRNA from 1 species